rnacentral:other from 2 species
GAAACCCUGCCGUGUUCGUGGUCAAGCUGGCUUUGUUAUGAGCCAACAUCAUAACAAAGGGAUCCUGAUCUCUGGCUGUGGCGAUCACGCCCCCUGUGCGGGGACGGUCAAAGCAGUUAGGAGGGAACCCACCUGCUGGGAGCAGGUUCAUUCAAGUCAGGAUCAGCGACACGGCGGGGGUGCG